CAAAAUGUUGUGUUUUACCUUGCCUUUUAGUGAGCUCCUGUUUGUUUUCCCUCAGUGCUCAGAGAGACUCCGUAUUUCUCACAGGCAACAUUUUGAGCAGGGAAGUUCCCUCUGGGUAUGUUUUGUAGUUUGCAUACAAUGGCCUUCUUGUCCAAUUUCAGUUAUUACAACCAUAUUUUGUCCGUCUUGAAAACUCACCUUGACCCCAGCCAGCAACCCAGAAAACAGUUUCUGCGGUUCCCCUGCCUUCUCAGAAAGAGCAAAGUACUUUGCUCUUUCUCCUUGAAAGGCUUUUCACACAAAGGCCAUUCAUUUGCCCUGUGACAUGAGGUAUAACAGCUGGGUGCUACAACCAUAAUAAGGAACAUUAACACAUAUGCCAGAACGAAGACUCUUGCUCAGGGCUUUCUGGAUAUGGCAUUCUUCACUGCUAAUGCCUCACAAAUGAAACACCUUCUGCAACAAGGAACUGAUGCACGGUUUUAUUACUUUCUUUUUGUC